GCCCGCUUGGCUCAGUGGUAGGGCGUAUCACUAAUAGGCAAAGAAACUUUCCCAAUAGUACAUGACAAGAUCGUCAGUUCGAUUCUGGCAGUGGGCA
rfam:Magnaporthe poae ATCC 64411 unplaced genomic scaffold supercont1.16, whole genome shotgun sequence.